UGAUUUUGUAAUGAGAUGUUGGACGAGCAGGUGUCCACAUACUUUUGGUCAUGCAGUGUAAGUCAUGUAUUAUAGUAACACUUUUAGUUGACUGUGGCAUCAGCUUCUCACAUGAUGUCAUCUCCUCUCCUUGUGUUGACAUUGUCCCUCUCUGUUAGGAGAUUCACCUGAGAUUCAGUCAAGUCUCCGACUCUGGUCAUGUCUAGACCCCUGGGGAGGCUCCAUGGAGGAGUACCUGCUGGAGAGGGAGCAUACUCUAGCAGUGGUUCUACCAGGAGGCCUGGAGAAAACGGCCCAGAUACAUGGGAGCCAUGGAGGCUCACAGGAUCCUACUGAAACCUAAAGGGGGAGAGGAGAAGAUAAGGAGGCUGUACGUGCCAGAGGUCACUGUACGUCUGCUGAUCAACUACAAGAAGAACCAUAAGGUCGUUGUGAGGGUCAGCCCUAGAGUCCCUCUGGAGCAGCUCCUGCCUGCGGUGUGUGUGAAGUGUGAGUUUGACCUGGAGUCCACCAUUUUAAUGAGAGCCAAUGGCUCUGAAGAACCUUUAAACCUGAGCAGGUCCCUUGAUGGCUAAUGGAACUGUACGCCAAGGACAUGGCAGCUGCCCCCCCCCCCACACCAAGUAAAGGGAAGAAACAGAAGGAGAAAGAGAACAGAGGAUUGUUCUGCUUAUUCAGGAGAAUUAAGAAGAAACCAGAAAAGUGUCUCUCAGUGAGUGUCCCUUUCUCGCGUGGUCUGAAAAACCAGCGGGUGGCCAGCAUCAGCAUGAAUUCCCUGGGUAUCACUCUUCCAACACCCUGCCCAUGGACAACACCAUGGCCAUGAAAAGACGGGCACCCAUGCCCCCCAUGGCAGGCUCCCAAAGCGCCCCUGCUAACCUCAACGUCCAGCCG